CAUAUCAAUAAGCGGAGGAAAAGAAACUAACAAGGAUUCCCCUAGUAACUGCGAGUGAAGCGGGAAAAGCUCAAAUUUAAAAUCUGGCGGUCUUGAUCGUCCGAGUUGUAUUCUGGAGAAGUGCUUUCCGCGCUGGACCGUGUAUAAGUCUCUUGGAACAGAGCGUCAUAGAGGGUGAGAAUCCCGUCUUUAACACGGACUACCAGUGCUUUGUGAUGCGCUCUCAAAGAGUCGAGUUGUUUGGGAAUGCAGCUCAAAAUGGGUGGUAAAUUCCAUCUAAAGCUAAAUAUUGGCGAGAGACCGAUAGCGAACAAGUACCGUGAGGGAAAGAUGAAAAGCACUUUGGAAAGAGAGUUAAACAGUACGUGAAAUUGUUGAAAGGGAAACGCUUGAAGUCAGUCGCGUCGUCCGGGACUCAGCCUUGCCUUUCGCUUGGUGUAUUUUCCGGUUGACGGGCCAGCAUCGAUUUUGACCGCCGGACAAAGGCUAGCGGAAUGUGGCACCUCCGGGUGUGUUAUAGCCGCUGGUCAUAUACGGUGGUUGGGAUCGAGGACCGCAGCUUCGGCUUAGGAUGCUGGCGUAAUGGCUUUAAACGACCCGUCUUGAAACACGGACCAAGGAGUCUAACAUGCCCGCGAGUGUUUGGGUGGAAAACCCGAGCGCGUAAUGAAAGUGAAAGUUGAGACCUCUGUCGCGGAGGGCAUCGACGCCCGGACCUGAUCUUCGGUGACGGAUCUGCGGUAGAGCGUGUAUGUUGGGACCCGAAAGAUGGUGAACUAUGCCUGAAUAGGGUGAAGCCAGAGGAAACUUCUGGUGGAGGCUUCGUAGCGAUUUCUGACGUGCAAAUCGAUUCGUCAAAUUUGGGUAAUAAGGGGCGAAAGACUAAUCGAACCAUCUAGUAGCUGGGUUCCUGCCGAA
rnacentral:rRNA from 1 species